rnacentral:rRNA from 1 species
AAUCAUGAUGCUACAACCCGAUUGGGGGAUGGCUCGGCUCGAGAGCCGAAGAAGGUCGUGACAAGCUGCGAUAAGUCGCGGGGAGAGGCAUGAAUCUCUUGGAUCCGCGAAUUGCCGAAUUGGACCUCCUGACAACAGUCAUUCCUCGUUUGAGGAAGGGGAACCCCCCGAACUGAAGCAUCUCAGUAGGGGGAGGAAAAGAAAUCAAUAGAAAUUCCGUGAGUAGUGGCGAAUGAAAACGGAAUAGGACAAACCGAAUCUCCUAGGGAAACCUUGGAGAGAUGUGGAGUAUGGACAUCUGAAGCCUAAGUCCGGGAAGUAGAAGUCGUCCUGGAACGGCGCACCAGAGAGGGUGAAAGUCCCGUAAACGUAACGGAUAUGGCCAUGUGAUGUAUCCUGAGUAGCGUGCGUUGGAUAUCGCGCGUGAAUGUGGGAGGCAGAGACUUCCAAUCCUAAAUACUACUCGAGACCGAUAGUUGACAAGUAGCGUGAGCGAAAGCUGAAAAGUAUCCUUAGCGGGAUGUGAAAAGACCC